rnacentral:rRNA from 1 species
GUGAGGAAUAUUGGGCAAUGGGGGAAACCCUGACCCAGCGACGCCGCGUGAGGGAAGAAGGUCUUCGGAUUGUAAACCUCUGUCUUCGGGGACGAUAAUGACGGUACCCGGGGAGGAAGCCACGGCUAACUACGUGCCAGCAGCCGCGGUAAAACGUAGGUGGCAAGCGUUGUCCGGAAUUACUGGGUGUAAAGGGAGCGCAGGUGGGGCUGUAAGUCGAAUGUGAAAUCUAUGGGCUCAACUCAUAAAUUGCGUUCGAUACUAUAGUUCUUGAGUGGAGUAGAGGCAGGCGGAAUUCCCGGUGUAGCGGUGGAAUGCGUAGAUAUCGGGAGGAACACCAGUGGCGAAGGCGGCCUGCUGGGCUUUAACUGACACUGAGGCUCGAAAGCGUGGGUAGCAAACAGGAUUAGAUACCCGAGUAGUCC